UACGAAGGGGGCUAGCGUUGCUCGGAAUUACUGGGCGUAAAGGGCGCGUAGGCGGAUAGUUCAGUUGGGGGUGAAAGCCCGGGGCUCAACCUCGGAACUGCCUUCAAUACUGGCUAUCUUGAGUACGGGAGAGGUGUGUGGAACUCCGAGUGUAGAGGUGAAAUUCGUAGAUAUUCGGAAGAACACCAGUGGCGAAGGCGGUUGCCUGGGGCUUUGCUGACGCUGAUGCGCGAAAGCGUGGGGAGCGAUCCGG
rnacentral:rRNA from 1 species